rnacentral:sRNA from 1 species
AUUUUAAAAUGGCCUAAUUCUACACAAAUCGUUGGAUGAAAUCAGGGCAAUCUGCUCGCAUCCAACAGCGCACCACUGAAGUCACCAAAGGCUACAUCGGGAUGGACACCCAGCAGAGUACCGCACAUAUUUUGGUACCUAGUCUGGUAUUUUCGUUGUCUCCCUCAAAGAGGACUACAUCUUCCUUUGCGGCUGGCCCGCAUUGCUAGAGGAUA